rnacentral:rRNA from 1 species
AACGAACGCUGGCGGCAUGCCUAACACAUGCAAGUCGAACGAGACCUUCGGGUCUAGUGGCGCACGGGUGCGUAACGCGUGGGAAUCUGCCCUUGGGUUCGGAAUAACUCAGAGAAAUUUGAGCUAAUACCGGAUGAUGACGUAAGUCCAAAGAUUUAUCGCCAAAGGAUGAGCCCGCGUAAGAUUCGGUAGUUGGUGGGGUAAAAGCCUACCAAGCCGACGAUCUUUAGCUGGUCUGAGAGGAUGAUCAGCCACACUGGGACUGAGACACGGCCCAGACUCCUACGGGAGGCAGCAGUGGGGAAUAUUGGAGAAUGGGCGAAAGCCUGAUCCAGCAAUGCCGCGUGAGUGAUGAAGGCCCUAGGGUUGUAAAGCUCUUUUACCAGGGAUGAUAAUGACAGUACCGGGAGAAUAAGCCCCGGCUAACUCCGUGCCAGCCGCCGCCGUAAUAA